UACGUAGGGGGCAAGCGUUGUCCGGAAUCAUUGGGCGUAAAGAGCGUGUAGGCGGCCCGGUAAGUCCGCUGUGAAAGUCCAGGGCUCAACCCCGGGAGGCGGGUGGAUACUGUCUAGCUCGAGUCCGGAAGAGGAGUGUGGAAUUCCUGGUGUAGCGGUGAAAUGCGCAGAUAUCAGGAGGAACACCAAUGGCGAAGGCAGCACUCUGGGACGUGACUGACGCUGAGACGCGAAAGCGUGGGGAGCAAACAGG
rnacentral:rRNA from 1 species